rnacentral:sRNA from 1 species
UAUUAAUGUAUUCCAGCCCCGUAUGCCUCUGCCUUCUAUCCUAACAUCAUUAUAUGGCUUCAGCUUAAAGCAAAAACUAUUUAAUUGUAUUAAACACUUAAAAUGGAAGGUUUUCAUAGAAACACACGGGAAUGGCUAGAUCAAAUCCACUGGUAACGAAGACCCCACCUUUAAAUCAGUACAAAAAGCUCUGGAACUUCGUUUGGUAUAUUUUGGUGAAUUAUUACCCGUAGUUACAGGACGCAACUUCAUGGGUAUGAGAUUGUACUUCAUUGCCAUUGACAGUACCGGUGCUCUCAUCGUUCAGCUAACAUACAAACGCAUUUCUGGUUGAAAACUACUAGCACAAAAACAUAAACAUCUAUGUAUGUAUGGAAUGUUAAGCCAUAUUUAGAUGGUAA